CUGAAGCCCCGGUGAACGGCGGCCGUAACUAUAACGGUCCUAAGGUAGCGAAAUUCCUUGUCGGGUAAGUUCCGACCUGCACGAAUGGCGUAACGACUUCCCCGCUGUCUCAAAUGUGGACUCAGCGAAAUUGAAUUGCCUGUCAAGAUGCAGGCUACCCGCGGUUAGACGGAAAGACCCCAUGCACCUUUACUACAACUUUACAUUGGCAUCAGGUACAGCAUGCGCAGGAUAGGUGGUAGGCUUUGAAGCCGGGACUCUGGUCUCGGUGGAGCCUCCCUUGAGAUACCACCCUUGCUCUGCUUGAUGUCUAACCGCGGUCCGUUAUCCGGAUCCGGGACCCUGUAUGGUGGGUAGUUUGACUGGGGCGGUCGCCUCCCAAAUUGUAACGGAGGCGCGCGAAGGUUGGCUCAGAGCGGUCGGAAAUCGCUCGUUGAGUGCAAUGGCAGAAGCCAGCCUGACUGCAAGACUGACAAGUCGAGCAGAGACGAAAGUCGGCCAUAGUGAUCCGGUGGUCCCGAGUGGAAGGGCCAUCGCUCAACGGAUAAAAGGUACGCUGGGGAUAACAGGCUGAUGGUGCCCAAGAGUCCAUAUCGACGGCACCGUUUGGCACCUCGAUGUCGGCUCAUCUCAUCCUGGGGCUGGAGCAGGUCCCAAGGGUACGGCUGUUCGCCGUUUAAAGAGGUACGUGAGCUGGGUUUAGAACGUCGUGAGACAGUUCGGUCCCUAUCUUCCGUGGGUGUAGGAUACUUGAGAGGAGUUGCCCCUAGUACGAGAGGACCGGGGUGAACGAUCCACUGGUGGACCUGUUGUCGUGCCAACGGCAGUGCAGGGUAGCUAUGAUCGGACAGGAUAACCGCUGAAGGCAUCUAAGCGGGAAGCCCCCCUCAAAACAAGGUAUCCCUGAGGACCGAGGUAGACCACCUCGUCGAUAGGCCAGAGAUGUAAGCGCAGCAAUGUGUUCAGUUGACUGGUACUAAUGGUCCAAUAGGCUUGAUUUG
rnacentral:rRNA from 1 species